CUUGCUUUCUGCCAGCGAUCGGGCGGCUCCCAGUUCUGGCAGUCCAUUGUUCAGCUUCUCCCGGUGCUGCGCAUUGGGACCUCCAUCUCGGUGGGUUCUGGCCUCUCGACUCUAUUCUGGUAUGACCGUUGGGCGGGUGACUCCCCCUUCGCGGCUCGCUUCCCUGCCCUCUUCUCUAUUGCAGUUGACCACAUGAUUUCCGUCAAUAGGGCCCUUCUUGAUCUGGGGCGCCUUGCCUUCCGCCGUCCGUUUGGGCCGGCGGAAUCCGCCGCCUGGCGUGAGUUGCUUGAUUGCGUUGCGUUUCAUGAGCCGCUUGUGGAUGAUAGGCCGGACUGUACCAGGUGGAGACUUGAGCCGUCGGGCUUGUUCACCACCCGGUCGCUCUAUGCGGCCAUCGCCCCUUCCUCCGCACCCCUCCCCUUAUCGAUGGUCUGGACCGCCCGGGUUCCUCUGAAGAUUCGCAUCUUCAUGUGGCAAUGGAUCCGUGGUAGACUUCCGUCUGGUGUGGAGGUCCGGAAGCGCAAUGGCCCCGGCUCCGGUAUCUGCCCUCUCUGUGGCGUCCCGGAGGACACGAACCACAUCUUCUUCUCCUGCAUCUCCGCUCAAUUCCUUUGGAGCUGCUUCCGCGAGGUGGUCGGCGGGAGUUGGUGCCACACUAACUUCCCGGACCUCUUUGCUGAACUCCAAUUGUCCCCCGUGUCCAUUCGCCACAUUAGGUGGCUGCAAGUUGGGGUCCUUGCGUGGACAUUGUGGACCGUUCGCAAUAAACUCGUGAUCCAGCGCGCUCCCCUUCGUCGCUCUUCUGACGCCCUCUACAAAUUCUCGGGUUUCUUGCAGCUUUGGCGGCCGCUUAGUCGCUCCUCGGACCGUGACGCCAUCUCCGCCUUCAUCACCGACCUUCGAUCGAUGGCCGUCCGCAUCUCUCCGCCGCCGCCGCCGCCACCGCCGGAGCCCGAUUAG
rnacentral:rRNA from 1 species